UUGGGUGGGUGAACUAUACCUUUAAUAAUUGAUUUUACUUUGUAAAAGGUGUCAUUAAACAUGUUUGAAAUGUGUUGCAUUUACAGCAUUUUGACUAGCAGGUGUCUCCACAUGUGUUGUGUAGAGCACUUUAAAACAGCCAAACAUUUAAAUUCAGAGUUUGGAAGAGCUCUGCUCCUCUCAUCACUACUUCCAUGUAAAAGAUGAGACUGACACAUUAUGACUUACAAGUAUCAGUAUUUCUGCUAAAUCAUUUGCAGUCAGACCUGACGAGAAAUCGGCAAACAAGGUGAUCCACCAAAAAUAUAUCUUUUUUUUUUAUGUUAGUUAAAGUGACUCAGUUUGCCCCUGGUCAUGGUAACAGCUUGAAUUAUUUAGGACUAAGAAUUAUUCCCACUCACUACUCUUUUUGUCUUCUCCAACAGACAGAAAAAGACAUUCUCCUGCGUCCUGAGUUAGAAGAGGUCAUGGCCAGUCACCCGACAUGUUUUAAGCUGUGGUACACCAUCGACAGGGAUCCAGACGAGAGUACAGCCAAGGCUUCAUCACUGAGAACACGAAGAACCUCCUUCCUCCAUCUGCAGAUGACACACUUCCCAUGAUGCAGUUCACCUACAAACCUGUAUUUCUUGAUCCUUGUCCAGCACCUUAUUUAAUCCAUCUGAUACAAAUCAGCAGAUUUUCAGAGAGCCAAAUGAACUGAACUGUCUGUCAGAUAAGAGACAUAAAUGAGAGUUGAGCAAAUUAUUGUUAUUUACCAAAUGUUGCACUGAUGAGAUUCAGUUCUAAGCGUGGGUUUAAAUAAAAACAAUAUGUAUAUGCCCUAUCUUUUGAAGGGCAAAUAAUUUAUCAUUGGACUUUUAAUUAUUUCAGCUCAUUUUUAUGACCUGCUUGCAGUUC
rnacentral:lncRNA from 1 species